rnacentral:rRNA from 1 species
CGAACGCUGGCGGCGUGCCUAAUACAUGCAAGUUGAGCGAUGAAGAUUGGUGCUUGCACCAAUUUGAAGAGCAGCGAACGGGUGAGUAACGCGUGGGGAAUCUGCCUUUGAGCGGGGGACAACAUUUGGAAACGAAUGCUAAUACCGCAUAACAACUUUAAACAUAAGUUUUAAGUUUGAAAGAUGCAAUUGCAUCACUCAAAGAUGAUCCCGCGUUGUAUUAGCUAGUUGGUGAGGUAAAGGCUCACCAAGGCGAUGAUACAUAGCCGACCUGAGAGGGUGAUCGGCCACAUUGGGACUGAGACACGGCCCAAACUCCUACGGGAGGCAGCAGUAGGGAAUCUUCGGCAAUGGACGAAAGUCUGACCGAGCAACGCCGCGUGAGUGAAGAAGGUUUUCGGAUCGUAAAACUCUGUUGGUAGAGAAGAACGUUGGUGAGAGUGGAAAGCUCAUCAAGUGACGGUAACUACCCAGAAAGGGACGGCCAACUACGUG